rnacentral:rRNA from 1 species
GACGUAGGGCGCAAGCGUUGUCCGGAUUUAUUGGGCGUAAAGAGCUCGUAGGCGGCCUGUCGCGUCGACCGUGAAAACCCGCAGCUCAACUGCGGGCUUGCGGUCGAUACGGGCAGGCUGGAGUUCGGUAGGGGAGACUGGAAUUCCUGGUGUAGCGGUGGAAUGCGCAGAUAUCAGGAGGAACACCGGUGGCGAAGGCGGGUCUCUGGGCCGAUACUGACGCUGAGAAGCGAAAGCGUGGGGAGCGAACAGG